GAUGAACGCUGGCGGCGUGCCUAAUACAUGCAAGUCGAGCGAACGGACGAGAAGCUUGCUUCUCUGAUGUUAGCGGCGGACGGGUGAGUAACACGUGGAUAACCUACCUAUAAGACUGGGAUAAUUUCGGGAAACCGGAGCUAAUACCGGAUAAUAUUUUGAACCGCAUGGUUCAAAAGUGAAAGACGGUCUUGCUGUCACUUAUAGAUGGAUCCGCGCUGCAUUAGCUAGUUGGUAAGGUAACGGCUUACCAAGGCAACGAUGCAUAGCCGACCUGAGAGGGUGAUCGGCCACACUGGAACUGAGACACGGUCCAGACUCCUACGGGAGGCAGCAGUAGGGAAUCUUCCGCAAUGGGCGAAAGCCUGACGGAGCAACGCCGCGUGAGUGAUGAAGGUCUUCGGAUCGUAAAACUCUGUUAUUAGGGAAGAACAUAUGUGUAAGUAACUGUGCACAUCUUGACGGUACCUAAUCAGAAAGCCACGGCUAACUACGUG
rnacentral:rRNA from 1 species